CGUACACUCCUGCGGGAGGCAGCAGUGGGGAAUAUUGGACAAUGGGCGCAAGCCUGAUCCAGCCAUGCCGCGUGAGUGAUGAAGGCCCUAGGGUUGUAAAGCUCUUUCACCGGUGAAGAUAAUGACGGUAACCGGAGAAGAAGCCCCGGCUAACUUCGUGCCAGCAGCCGCGGUAAUACGAAGGGGGCUAGCGUUGUUCGGAUUUACUGGGCGUAAAGCGCACGUAGGCGGACUAUUAAGUCAGGGGUGAAAUCCCGGGGCUCAACCCCGGAACUGCCUUUGAUACUGGUAGUCUUGAGUUCGAGAGAGGUGAGUGGAAUUCCGAGUGUAGAGGUGAAAUUCGUAGAUAUUCGGAGGAACACCAGUGGCGAAGGCGGCUCACUGGCUCGAUACUGACGCUGAGGUGCGAAAGCGUGGGGAGCAAACAGGAUUAGAAACCCUUGUAGUCCCA
rnacentral:rRNA from 1 species